rnacentral:sRNA from 1 species
CAAGGGCAGAUGGGCAUAGGGGAGCGUGCUUGCACAAGCGAACAUAUGCACAGAAUGCCCGAACAAAAAUGAACAAGCAGGACGGUAGUCCGGAUUGUGAAUUUUUGCAGAAUUGCGGGAGUUCGAAGAACGGAGCAAUUCGU